rnacentral:rRNA from 1 species
AGUGAACGCUGGCGGUAGGCCUAACACAUGCAAGUCGAACGGUAGCACAGUAAGAGCUUGCUCUUACGGGUGGCGAGUGGCGGACGGGUGAGGAAUACAUCGGAAUCUACUUUUUCGUGGGGGAUAACGUAGGGAAACUUACGCUAAUACCGCAUACGACCUACGGGUGAAAGCAGGGGAUCUUCGGACCUUGCGCGAUUGAAUGAGCCGAUGUCGGAUUAGCUAGUUGGCGGGGUAAAGGCCCACCAAGGCGACGAUCCGUAGCUGGUCUGAGAGGAUGAUCAGCCACACUGGAACUGAGACACGGUCCAGACUCCUACGGGAGGCAGCAGUGGGGAAUAUUGGACAAUGGGCGCAAGCCUGAUCCAGCCAUACCGCGUGGGUGAAGAAGGCCUUCGGGUUGUAAAGCCCUUUUGUUGGGAAAGAAAAGCAGCAGGUUAAUACCCCGCUGCUCUGACGGUACCCAAAGAAUAAGCACCGGCUAACUUCGUG